UCUCUGAAGCCAUUCUACCAUGUCCCCAGAUAAUGGUAAAAGUUAUCACAGCGCUCUUUAAGUUACAUCUCUUGGAUGAACACCAGUCAAUUAAAUAAUUAAAGUGCCUCUUCUAGGCACUUGGUAAACUUUCCCUCCUACUUUGUAACCUUGAUAACUCACUUAGAUGCUGAGGGUACGGGUCAAAUAAGACAGGACUCUUGUCUGGUGGACUCUACAUUUGUUCACAAAUUGAUCUUUCUAAAGUCUGUGAGAGUCUUUUACGACAAACAAAAGCAGUUUCUUCUCUCAGAUUAUUUCGUCCAUGUCUCCUCCCACCCCAACGCCCUCCACACCAGCCAAAUCUAAGUCACCACGAAGCAACCCCACUGUUAUUCUCACAACUCUCAUAUUCUCAUGUCAGCCCCAGUGCUGGCCAUCGCUGACCAAGAGUGUGCCUCGUUAACCCCACGCCAUGCUACUUCUGCUGCACGAGGGCCUGUGCUGGACGCAAGUGUCUGGUUUAUAGAACAGGAAAAAAAAAUCUCAGGUUUAUUUUGGGAAGGCAGAAAUUCAUGACAUUUUAAGCAAAAUACAUGAGGCAACGUCACAAACCCACAGGAGAGGAUGAAGGUCACACAGUGUUGCUUUGGAGAUCAGAAGUCUCCAUUUGCAGUUGGUUGAAGUGGGUUGGCGUUACCUUAGAUGUCCUGAUGGUUUAGGUAGGAAGUAAUGACAUUUGACAGGGAGCAAACCUGUUAUCUCAGCAUUAGUGACAGUGGGUGUAUGUGUCCCACAAGGGUCUGCUCUGUAGAUGAGCCACAGCAAACAUUUGUGUUAUGAUACUGACUUCUGAAUAUUCAUUGACAGGUAGGCUAUAGAUUUCCUUUAUUGAGAAUGAAAAAAUAAACUGUCUUUACUGUCAGUAACUUUUCAGGGAGGGAUUUGCUGGUUUGUAUUUUCACAUUUCAAUAAGCAUAUUUUGAAAUCACUAUUUCCCAUCAUCUAAAAUACCGUAUAAAAUAAGAGACACAUCUCUUAGCAGAAGAAAGGUCUUAACUUGAUAGCUUUUAUGCUUAGUUUGACUUUGUAGAUGUUCCACAAAAGAAGGGGGCAGGGAAGGCUGGGCGCUGUGCCCUUCUACCUAGGACAUUCAUUUCACUUCUCAAUAAACAUAGUCAGAACUUAUUUCCCAUCUGUUACUAUCAUGGUAAAAACCUAACAUAGCUCCUUCUCUUCUUUAUAUUGCAAAAGAUAGUUUUAAUUUAGUCUUGCCAUAUUUAUAGCUAAGAAUUUACUACGUUUUGGUAGUCUGUUUUGAAACUAAAAACUUAUAUCUGAAAGAUGCAGAUAAAGUCUGCCUAUUUCUUACACAGUGGGCUCUGUUUGCUACAGAAAAGAGUGAAACUUUUCCCAGCUUAGCACACUUGCCAUUGAAAUGGACCUGACAGAGCAGAGGUUCUGACUUUGGCUCUAAUUACUUUUAAUAAUGAUAAGACGUGAGUUUUGUUUGUUUACAUGCUGUUUACAAUGGCAUAAUUUUUAAAAAUCUAUAUGAGAACUGAGAUAUUUAUUGCAUACUAUUUUAAAGAUGUUUUAAUGUGUUUUCACCUUUGGAAUAUAUUGUUACAUUUCCUUGUACAGAUAAUUUGGGUGGCUUUGUUAAUGUAGCUAAUAAUUUCUAUGACUACUAAGUGACCAGUUUCGGUGCCUUCUCUUGUGGGAUGCAUGACUCUGUAUUUAUUGUAAGGAAGUCACUGAUGUGUGUAUUUUUGUACUUCGCUGAGAGUAAUGGUUGAUGUACCUGGUGAUGAGAGACGUCUUUCCCAAAGGGCACUGCCUUCAGGUUGACCUUCUCAAAUAAAAAGACUGCAUUGAAAGGUGUGAA
rnacentral:lncRNA from 1 species